GCAUUGGUGGUUCAAUGGUAGAAUUCUAGCCUUCCAAGCUGGGGACCCGGGUUCAAUUCCCCACCUAUGCC
rnacentral:tRNA from 1 species